UGGGGAAUAUUGGACAAUGGGCGCAAGCCUGAUCCAGCCAUGCCGCGUGUGUGAAGAAGGCCUUUUGGUUGUAAAGCACUUUAAGCGAGGAGGAGGCUACUUGGAUUAAUACUCUAGGAUAGUGGACGUUACUCGCAGAAUAAGCACCGGCUAACUCUGUGCCAGCAGCCGCGGUAAUACAGAGGGUGCGAGCGUUAAUCGGAUUUACUGGGCGUAAAGCGUGCGUAGGCGGCUUCUUAAGUCGGAUGUGAAAGCCCUGAGCUUAACUUAGGAAUUGCAUUCGAUACUGGGAAGCUAGAGUAUGGGAGAGGAUGGUAGAAUUCCAGGUGUAGCGGUGAAAUGCGUAGAGAUCUGGAGGAAUACCGAUGGCGAAGGCAGCCAUCUGGCCUAAUACUGACGCUGAGGUACGAAAGCAUGGGGAGCAAACAGG
rnacentral:rRNA from 1 species